rnacentral:rRNA from 1 species
UCGUACGAACGGAGGAGAGCUUGCUCUCCAAUGUUAGUGGCGAACGGGUGCGUAACACGUGAGCAACUUGCCCUUCGGUGGGGGAUAGCCGGCCCAACGGCCGGGUAAUACCGCGUAUUGCAUCGUCAUCGCAUGGUGAUGAUGUGAAAGCGGCCGCAAGGUCGCGCCGAGGGAGAGGCUCGCGGCGUAUCAGCUUGUUGGUGGGGUAACGGCCUACCAAGGCUACGACGCGUAGCUGGUCUGAGAGGAUGAUCAGCCACAUUGGGACUGAGAUACGGCCCAGACUCCUACGGGAGGCAGCAGUGGGGAAUAUUGCGCAAUGGCCGCAAGGCUGACGCAGCGACGCCGUGUGUGGGAUGAAGGCUUUCGGGUUGUAAACCACUGUCAGGAGGGACGAAUACUCGGCUUCAAAUAGUUGACCGAGGGUGACGGUACCUCCAAAGGAAGCACCGGCUAACUCCGUGCCAGCAGCCGCGGUAACACGGAGGGUGCGAGCGUUGUCCGGAUUCACUGGGCGUAAAGCGCACGUAGGCGGCUUUGUAAGUCAUUUGUGAAAUCCCGGGGCUCA